rnacentral:rRNA from 1 species
GAUGAACGCUAGCGGGAGGCCUAACACAUGCAAGCCGAGCGGUAUUUCUUCUUCGGAAGAGAGAGAGCGGCGUACGGGUGCAGAACACGUGUGCAACCUGCCUUUAUCUAGAGGAUAGCCUUUCGAAAGGAAGAUUAAUACUCUAUAAUAUAUUAAUUGGCAUCAAUUGAUAUUGAAAACUCCGGUGGAUAGAGAUGGGCACGCGCAAGAUUAGCUAGUUGGUGAGGUAACGGCUCACCAAGGCAAUGAUCUUUAGGGGGCCUGAGAGGGUGAUCCCCCACACUGGUACUGAGACACGGACCAGACUCCUACGGGAGGCAGCAGUGAGGAAUAUUGGUCAAUGGGUGCAAGCCUGAACCAGCCAUCCCGCGUGAAGGAUUAAGGUCCUAUGGAUUGUAAACUUCUUUUGUAUAGGGAUAAACCUACCCUCGUGAGGGUAGCUGAAGGUACUAUACGAAUAAGCACCGGCUAACUCCGUGCCAGCCGCCGCCGUAAGAC